rnacentral:rRNA from 1 species
AUUGAACGCUGGCGGCAUGCUUUACACAUGCAAGUCGAACGGUAACAGGCCGCAAGGUGCUGACGAGUGGCGAACGGGUGAGUAAUGCAUCGGAACGUGCCCAGUCGUGGGGGAUAACUACUCGAAAGAGUAGCUAAUACCGCAUACGAUCUAUGGAUGAAAGCGGGGGACCGUAAGGCCUCGCGCGAUUGGAGCGGCCGAUGUCAGAUUAGGUAGUUGGUGGGGUAAAGGCUCACCAAGCCAACGAUCUGUAGCUGGUCUGAGAGGACGACCAGCCACACUGGGACUGAGACACGGCCCAGACUCCUACGGGGGGCAGCAGUGGGGAAUUUUGGACAAAGGGCGCAAGCCUGAUCCAGCAAUGCCGCGUGCAGGAAGAAGGCCUUCGGGUUGUAAACUGCUUUUGUACGGAACGAAACGGCUCUGGUUAAUACCCGGGGCUAAUGACGGUACCGUAAGAAUAAGCACCGGCUAACUACGUG